rnacentral:rRNA from 1 species
UACGGGGGGGGCAAGCGUUGUUCGGAAUUACUGGGCGUAAAGGGCUCGUAGGCGGCCGACUAAGUCAGACGUGAAAUCCCUCGGCUUAAUCGGGGAACUGCGUCUGAUACUGGACGGCUUGAGUUCGGGAGAGGGAUGCGGAAUUCCAGGUGUAGCGGUGAAAUGCGUAGAUAUCUGGAGGAACACCGGUGGCGAAGGCGGGUCUCUGGGCCGAUACUGACGCUGAGGAGCGAAAGCGUGGGGAGCGAACAGG